GAAAUGACUCUCGGCAAUGGAUAUCUCGGCUCUCGCAUCGAUGAAGAGCGCAGCGAAAUGCGAUACGUGGUGCGAAUUGCAGAAUCCCGCGAACCAUCGAGUCUUUGAACGCAAGUUGCGCCUGAGGCCAACCGGCCAAGGGCACGUCUGCCUGGGCGUCAAGC
rnacentral:rRNA from 2 species